UUUUGAUGCACCAAAAAAACAAAAUAACGACUUAUAUAGAGAUGAGCCGAUUUCAAAACACUGCAUCAGGAAGCUUCGAAGCGUUAUGAAUCAGCGUGUCAAUCAAGACUUGGAGUUAACCGCAGAAUUUUAAUUGUUGGAUGAACUAUCACUUAAAGACAGUAUUAAAGGCAGAAAAGUCUUUUAACCACUGAAAGGCCAUUAUCUUUCUCUGUGUAUGGUCACAACUGUUGUGUCAUGGAGGAGUGCUAUAAAGCGAAGACUUCCAGUGACUCCAAACAUAUAAAAAAUGCUCUGAGUGUGAGUUCUACAAACCAGUGACACCGCAUACAUUACUCUUAUUCAAUUAGUAGACUAUUGAAACCACUACAAAUCAAACUUGUAGAUAACUGGGAGCGUUUUAUACUUCGCCAACUUCUGUGUUGAUAAACUUGGCCAGCCGCUGCUGAAUGAAAACCCCCAACUGACUGAGGGAUGGGAAGUAUCCCAAAUACCAGCAGAUCUUUGGCCAGAUCAUUGUCCUCGAGGGCCAAGAGGUGCAGAUAAAGGAGAAAAGACCUAAACCAUGCUGUUUUAACUGCUGUUCUGAAGGUCAUCAACUGCGAGACUGUCCGGAGCCCAAAGAUAUGGCUCGUAUCAAUGAAAAAAUAAAGGAGUUUCACAGAACAGCAAUCAGAGCAACCAACGCUACCAUGCAGAAGAAGCUGAGGAGCGAUUUGCAAAGUACAAGCCGGGAAUAAUAAGGUCAGCCAUCUUAUGAAGUGUCUUUUUUUUCUUCCUUUUUCUGUUUUUACAAAUAAGUCUCACUUUCCCUGCAGACAAUAAUUUUAGGAAAAUUAAAUCUUUAAACAUUUUUUUCCUGUGAAAAAAUAUCUUCAUGCCUUAAAAUAGCUUGAAUGUAACUCUACACCCUUGUUUCAUUUAGUAUACAUAGGCUCACGAAUAUGAGUCCCCGCCUCCACUCAAACACACCUGCUCGGACUGCUUGAUCCGCUCUGUCAACUUUAGCAAACGCUACACAGUGGCAAGUGGAAAUGUUGGUUUAAUUCAGCCAUAUAUGUUUGAGCCAGAAAAGAAGUGGAAGUAUGAAUUAUACAGGCUCAUCUACAAUGUAUCUGUUAAGCGGAUUCUUAAACACCUCUGAUUAGCCACUGUCUUCACUUGCUCAACAGAUAUGUCUGUGAUUGGCUACAAUGAUCAACGCUUCAAAACCAUGUUGUAAAUAGACAUCUUUGACACUCUUCACCUAUAUUAGGGAUUUCAAAUGCCCCCGUGUGUAUCUGUGUAAGCGCUCGAUGAAGA